rnacentral:rRNA from 1 species
CGCCUGGGGAGUACGGCCGCAAGGUUAAAACUCAAAUGAAUUGACGGGGGCCCGCACAAGCGGUGGAGCAUGUGGUUUAAUUCGACGCAACGCGAAGAACCUUACCUGGCCUUGACAUCCAGAGAGCUUUCCAGAGAUGGAUUGGUGCCUUCGGGAACUCUGAGACAGGUGCUGCGUGGCCGUCGUCAGCUCGUGUCGUGAGAUGUUGGGUUAAGUCCCGUAACGAGCGCAACCCCUAUCCCUGGUUGCUAGCAGGUAAUGCUGAGAACUCCAGGGAGACUGCCGGUGACAAACCGGAGGAAGGUGGGGAUGACGUCAGGUCAUCAUGGCCCUUACGGCCAGGGCUACACACGUGCUACAAUGGCGCGUACAGAGGGCUGCCAACUCGCGAGAGUGAGCCAAUCCCUUAAAACGCGUCGUAGUCCGGAUCGGAGUCUGCAACUCGACUCCGUGAAGUCGGAAUCGCUAGUAAUCGCGAAUCAGAAUGUCGCGGUGAAUACGUUCCCGGGCCUUGUACACACCGCCCGUCACACCAUGGGAGUGGAUUGCACCAGAAGUAGUUAGUCUAACCUUCGGGAGGACGAUUACCACGGUGUGGUUCAUGACUGGGGUGAAGUCGUAACAAGGUAACCGUA